rnacentral:rRNA from 1 species
GACGAACGCUGGCGGCGUGCUUAACACAUGCAAGUCGAACGGAAAGGCCCUGCUUUUGUGGGGUGCUCGAGGGGCGAACGGGUGAGUAACACGUGAGUAACCUGCCCUUGACUUUGGGAUAACUUCAGGAAACUGGGGCUAAUACCGGAUAGGAGCUCCUGCUGCAUGGUGGGGGGUGGAAGGUUUGGGCGGUUGGGGUUGGACUUGCGGCUUAUCAGCUUGUUGGUGGGGUAGUGGCUUAGCAAGGCGUUGACGGGUAGCCGGCCUGAGAGGGUGACCGGCCACAUUGGGACUGAGAUACGGCCCAGACUCCUACGGGAGGCAGGAGUGGGGAAUAUUGCCCAAUGGGCGGAAGCCUGAUGCAGCAACGCCGCGUGCGGGAUGACGGCCUUCGGGUGGUAAACCGCUUUCGCCUGUGACGAAGCGUGAGUGACGGUAAUGGGUAAAGAAGCACCGGCUAACUACGUG